UAGGGAAUCUUCGGCAAUGGGGGCAACCCUGACCGAGCAACGCCGCGUGAGUGAAGAAGGUUUUCGGAUCGUAAAGCUCUGUUGUAAGAGAAGAACGUGUGUGAGAGUGGAAAGUUCACACAGUGACGGUAACUUACCAGAAAGGGACGGCUAACUACGUGCCAGCAGCCGCGGUAAUACGUAGGUCCCGAGCGUUGUCCGGAUUUAUUGGGCGUAAAGCGAGCGCAGGCGGUUUAAUAAGUCUGAAGUUAAAGGCAGUGGCUUAACCAUUGUUCGCUUUGGAAACUGUUAAACUUGAGUGCAGAAGGGGAGAGUGGAAUUCCAUGUGUAGCGGUGAAAUGCGUAGAUAUAUGGAGGAACACCGGUGGCGAAAGCGGCUCUCUGGUCUGUAACUGACGCUGAGGCUCGAAAGCGUGGGGAGCAAACAGGAUUAGAUACCCUGGUAGUCCACGCCGUAAACGAUGAGUGCUGGGUGUUAGGCCCUUUCCGGGGCUUAGUGCCGCAGCUAACGCAUUAAGCACUCCGCCUGGGGAGUACGACCGCAAGGUUG
rnacentral:rRNA from 1 species